GACGAACGCUGGCGGCGUGCUUAACACAUGCAAGUCGAACGGAAAGGCCCUGCUUUUGUGGGGUGCUCGAGUGGCGAACGGGUGAGUAACACGUGAGUAACCUGCCCUUUACUUUGGUAUAACUUCAGGAAACUUGGGCUAAUACCGGAUAGGAGCUCCUGCUGCAUUGUGGGGGUUGGAAAGUUUCGGCGGUUGGGUAUGGACUCGCGGCUUAUCAGCUUGUUGGUGGGGUAGUUGCUUACCAAGGGUUUGACGGGUAGCCGGACUGAGAGGGUGACCGGCAACAUUGGGACUGAGAUACGGCACAGACUACUAAGGGAGGCAGCAGGGGGGAAUAUUGCACAAUGGGCGGAAGCCUGAUGCAGCAACGCAGCGGGCGGGAUGACGGCCUUCGGGUUGUAAAACGCGUUCGACUGUGACGAAGCGUGAGUGACGGUAAUGGGUAAAGAAGCACCGGCUAACUACGUG
rnacentral:rRNA from 1 species